rnacentral:rRNA from 1 species
UACGAAGGGGGCUAGCGUUGUUCGGAAUUACUGGGCGUAAAGGGCGCGUAGGCGGUGCGGUAAGUCCGCAGUGAAAUCUCUGGGCUCAACUCAGAGUCUGCUGUGGAAACUGCCGUGCUUGAGCGUGGGAGAGGAAAGCGGAAUUCCUGGUGUAGCGGUGAAAUGCGUAGAUAUCAGGAGGAACACCUGUGGUGUAGACAGCUUUCUGGACCAUUGCUGACGCUGAGACACGAAAGCGUGGGUAGCAAACAGG